ACGAACGCUGGCGGCGUGCCUAAUACAUGCAAGUCGAACGAGCUCUCCCAAAUUGAUUUUAUGCUUGCAUAAAUGAUUUUUGGAUUCGGAGCGAGUGGCGAACUGGUGAGUAACACGUGGGUAACCUGCCCCGAAGCGGGGGAUAACAUUUGGAAACAAGUGCUAAUACCGCAUAAUUAGUUGGAACCGCAUGGUUCCAACUUGAAAGAUGGCUCUGCUAUCACUUUGGGAUGGACCCGCGCCGUAUUAGUUAGUUGGUGAGAUAAAAGCCCACCAAGACGAUGAUACGUAGCCGACCUGAGAGGGUAAUCGGCCACAUUGGGACUGAGACACGGCCCAGACUCCUACGGGAGGCAGCAGUAGGGAAUCUUCCACAAUGGACGAAAGUCUGAUGGAGCAACGCCGCGUGAGUGAUGAAGGUUUUCGGAUCGUAAAACUCUGUUGUUAAAGAAGAACAAGUGUUAGAGUAACUGUUAACACUUUGACGGUAUUUAACCAGAAAGCCACGGCUAACUACGUGCCAGCAGCCGCGGUAAUACGUAGGUGGCAAGCGUUGUCCGGAUUUAUUGGGCGUAAAGCGAGCGCAGGCGGUUUUGUAAGUCUGCUGUGAAAGCCCUCAGCUCAACUGAGGAAGUGCAGUGGAAACUACAAAACUUGAGUACAGAAGAGGAAAGUGGAACUCCAUGUGUAGCGGUGAAAUGCGUAGAUAUAUGGAAGAACACCAGUGGCGAAAGGCGGCUUUCUGGUCUGUUACUGACGCUGAGGCUCGAAAGCAUGGGUAGCGAACAGGAUUAGAUACCCUGGUAGUCCAUGCCGUAAACGAUGAAUACUAGGUGUUGGAGGGUUUCCGCCCUUCAGUGCCGCAGCUAACGCAUUAAGUAUUCCGCCUGGGGAGUACGACCGCAAGGUUGAAACUCAAAGGAAUUGACGGGGGCCCGCACAAGUGGUGGAGCAUGUGGUUUAAUUCGAUGCUACGCGAAGAACCUUACCAGCUCUUGACAUCUUCUGCCAACCCAAGAGAUUGGGCGUUCCCUUCGGGGACAGAAUGACAGGUGGUGCAUGGUUGUCGUCAGCUCGUGUCGUGAGAUGUUGGGUUAAGUCCCGCAACGAGCGCAACCCUUAUUAUUAGUUGCCAGCAUUUAGUUGGGCACUCUAGUGAGACUGCCGGUGAUAAACCGGAGGAAGGUGGGGACGACGUCAAAUCAUCAUGCCCCUUAUGAGCUGGGCUACACACGUGCUACAAUGGAUGGUACAACGAGUCGCGAAACCGCGAGGUCAAGCUAAUCUCUUAAAGCCAUUCUCAGUUCGGAUUGCAGGCUGCAACUCGCCUGCAUGAAGUUGGAAUCACUAGUAAUCGUGGAUCAGCAUGCCACGGUGAAUACGUUCCCGGGCCUUGUACUCACC
rnacentral:rRNA from 1 species